rnacentral:rRNA from 1 species
CUGAGUACGGCGGAACACGUGAAAUUCCGUCGGAAUCCGGGAGGACCAUCUCCCAAGGCUAAAUACUCCCUAGUGACCGAUAGUGAACCAGUACCGUGAGGGAAAGGUGAAAAGCACCCCGGAAGGGGAGUGAAACAGUUCCUGAAACCGUGUGCCUACAAGUAGUUAGAGCCCGUUAAUGGGUGAUAGCGUGCCUUUUGUAGAAUGAACCGGCGAGUUACGAUUUGUUGCAAGGUUAAGCGGAAAAAGCGGAGCCGUAGCGAAAGCGAGUCUGAAUAGGGCGCAUAAGUAACAGGUCGUAGACCCGAAACCAGGUGAUCUACCCAUGUCCAGGAUGAAGGUAAGGUAAUACUUACUGGAGGUCCGAACCCACGCACGUUGAAAAGUGCGGGGAUGAGGUGUGGGUAGCGGAGAAAUUCCAAUCGAACUUGGAGAUAGCUGGUUCUCUCCGAAAUAGCUUUAGGGCUAGCCUCGAGGUAAAGAGUCAUGGAGGUAGAGCACUGUUUGGACUAGGGGCCCUUCUCGGGUUACCGAAUUCAGAUAAACUCCGAAUGCCAUGUACUUAUACUCGGGAGUCAGACUGCGAGUGAUAAGAUCCGUAGUCGAAAGGGAAACAGCCCAGACCACCAGUUAAGGUCCCC